UGCUCGUUUCAGCAGCAAUAUACUAAAAUUUGAAUAAUACAGAGAAGAUUAGCAUGGCCUCUACACAAGGAUGACACACAAAGUCAUGAAGCAUUUCAUAUUUUU